UACAGAGAUUUUUAUUCCUUUUUGAUGCGAUGUUUCUAGUCUGAGGACGUGUACUCUGGAGAAACGUCUCUAUGUUUAAUAUAGUUUUAAUAACCGUCUGUCGAAUCCUAAGUUCUCGUUCAUGUGUUCCUUUGUUCCCCACCACCUCACCGCAUGUCUGGUUUAGUAAGUUUCUUCGUGCUUUUGGUCGGAGGGAUGUGUUUAUUUUUCUUUGGCUUUCUUUUCCACCGGAGGUACUGGUUAGCUCCUUCUUUUUCCAGGGUAGAACAAAUAACGAAGUUAAUACCGUCGUCAAAACGGCACGUCCGGCUUUAUUAAAGGAGAACGGGGGGUGGUCGAAAACGAGUUGGACGAAGGGUAUACGUUAAUAAUUUAUAGAGGGGUAAAAAAAUGAUAGUUCCUAAGGGAAGAAAUAUAAUACUUUCUUUCUCUUUUCUCUCUUUUAUUGUUAUAAACGGUGAACGAUGCCCAUUCGACAGGGGCACACCAAGGGGCAAAGGACCGAUAAAUUCCGGAGGGUAGGGGAGGAUGGGAAAGGAAGGAGGGUAGCCGUGCGGGUAGGGCGAGGAGAGUAUUAGGACUCUCAAAGAAGAAAACAAAAUAAAAAUAAAGAACCAUCCUCAUUGUUAUCAAAACCGAGAGGAGGAAAGAGAGGGGGACAUAGGUUCCUCUCUUUAGGUCUCCGCUUCGAAGUCCCAGACAUUUAAAAGGCCUAGAUUAGUUGAUUGGCUUUUUUGGGUUUUUUCUUUGGUACUCGGUGAAGCGGCGGUACUUCUCGGGGCAGGGCCAGCGGCGGCGACGGCGACGGCGGUGGCUGCGCUUCUCGGGCGAGAAGACGGGGUUCGGCGCGGCGGGCCAGCGCGGGGAGGCCACGGUGGUCUCGCCGGUGAGACUGCGCCCGCGGCCGUACCUAGACGAGCUGGAGGAGGAUAGUUUCCCGCUGCUCUCGUUAGAAAGGCGCCGCAGGGGAGUCGGCGGCGACAAGACACCGAGCGGAGGCGCCGCCCGGAGCUUGGGCCACCAGGUGCUGUCGGCCAAGCCGUACCUGACGGGCAGGUCAGGGGACGGUACCACCGGCCACUACAGCGGCCAGUGCGGUCGCGGCCACCACCAGGCAGGGUGGGGUGCGGGCCGCCCUGGCGGCUACAGCGGGGCAAGGAGCCGACCCACGCGAGCGCACAAGGUCGGUCGGCAGGCGCAGCUCCCAAAACUGACGGAGCUGCCACCGGCAUCGCCGGCACCGGUACCGUAGCGGCGGUACCAGAUCUACGUGUAUGUUGUAGCUUAUUGGUCCUUUAGAAGAGGGGAGUCAUCACGUUUUCGAAACCCUCCCUCUCUCUACUCUCACUCCUCUACUCACUCUCCUCGAAUUCAGGUUUUAAAUUGGGGAUUUUUGAUAUAUUAGGUAGUUAGUUUAGGGUAUUCAUAUUACUCAGAUCCAUUAAAAUGGUGUUUAGAAAAACAUACAUUUAUUUAAAGUCCAAGUCUACGUCCACGGGAAGUACAUUUAAACCCUCGAGAUCAAACCCCCCUGCCCCAUCUUCUUUAGAUCUUCCCCCCUAGACCCUGUCUCCCGUGCUCUUUGUGCUUCAAAUCGGGAGAAACAUACUUAGUUAAAAAAGUACUCAGGGAAACGGAAGGAAGACCUAAUCAGUAAGUUAAUCCAACCUCCCUCCCCAACCCUUAAUCAAUCCAUGGACAGGAUCAAGUAGACAGUAGUACGAAUAAAAACCAAAUACUACCUUAACAAAAACAGGUACGUUGGUUCUUUAGGUCCCGGUCGUUCCGGUACCUCUACACAUGUUUUCUCACCGAUGGUCUUCUCUUCUCUCUCGUCGAUCCAAAUUCAGUUCAGUUACUCACUCAACACACUCUCCGUACUUACUACAUAAGGACUAUAGCAAAAGAGACAUAUACAUUAUAUAGCAAAGUAACUUCGUUAUACACAUUAUAGAGUACGGUACUAAUAGUGGUAGGGAACACUGU
rnacentral:rRNA from 1 species